rfam:Schistocephalus solidus strain NST_G2 genome assembly, scaffold: SSLN_scaffold0000132
GGCCUGGUAGCUGAGUUGGCUGGAGCGUUGGUUGUAUUAAAGUCUUCCCCUCGCUGGCGUGGGUUCGAAUCCCACUGAGGCUG